GACGUAGGGCGCGAGCGUUGUCCGGAUUUAUUGGGCGUAAAGAGCUCGUAGGCGGCUUGUCGCGUCGACCGUGAAAACUUGGGGCUCAACCCCAAGCCUGCGGUCGAUACGGGCAGGCUCGAGUUCGGUAGGGAGACGUGGAAUUCCUGGUGGUAGCGGUGAAAUGCGCAGAUAUCAGGAGGAACACCGAUGGCGAAGGCAGGUCUCUGGGCCGAUACUGACGCUGAGGAGCGAAAGCGUGGGGAGCGAACAGG
rnacentral:rRNA from 1 species